UACGGAGGAUCCGAGCGUUAUCCGGAUUUAUUGGGUUUAAAGGGUGCGCAGGCGGGAGAUUAAGUCGGCGGUGAAAUUUUGCAGCUCAACUGUAAAAGUGCCUUCGAAACUGGUUUCCUUGAGUGUAGAUGAAGUAGGCGGAGUUUGUGGUGUAGCGGUGAAAUGCAUAGAUAUCACGAGGAACUCCGAUUGCGCAGGCAGCUUACUAAACUACUACUGACGCUCAGGCACGAAGGCGUGGGGAUCAAACAGGAUUAGAUACCCGUGUA
rnacentral:rRNA from 1 species